UCUGAUAUGUAUUUUGCAUAUUUUCUUUCAGUCUGUGGCUUGUGUUUGCCUUCUCCUAAUAUUUAUUUUGCUUAUUUAACCUCAAAAAUCACAAUCCAAUUAUUUUUUAAGUACCAAUGACAUCCAGGUUUACAGUUUUUAAAAAGGUUGACAAAUCCUAAUGCUGUAUUCUUAUUUACCAUUGACUCCUUUUGUGGUUGGUUGCAUUUGAAGAAUGAAUCGAGUCAUCAAGCCCAACAUGGGCUCAACCUCAAACCUCACAUUCUUAACCAGGAUCCUCGCUGCUAUCAUCUGAGAGUCAGCCUGUGGCCUGUCCAAGUUGGCUGGGUCUGGCUGAGCUGAUUGGAG
rnacentral:lncRNA from 1 species